rnacentral:rRNA from 1 species
UACGGGGGGAGCAAGCGUUGUUCGGAUUUACUGGGCGUAAAGGGCGCGUAGGCGGCCUCUGCAAGUCGACUGUGAAAUCUCCGGGCUUAACCCGGAAAGGUCAGCCGAUACUGCAGGGCUAGAGUGCAGAAGGGGCAACUGGAAUUCUCGGUGUAGCGGUGAAAUGCGUAGAUAUCGAGAGGAACACCUGCGGCGAAGGCGGGUCGCUGGGCUGACACUGACGCUGAGGCGCGAAAGCUAGGGGAGCGAACGGG